GUAGUCCACGCUGUAAACGAUGAGUACUAGGUGUUGGGGUGAGAACCUCGGUGCCGCAGCUAACGCAAUAAGUACUCCACCUGGGAAGUACGAUCGCAAGAUUGAAACUCAAAGGAAUUGACGGGGGCCCGCACAAGCGGUGGAGCAUGUGGUUUAAUUCGAAGCAACGCGAAGAACCUUACCAAGGCUUGACAUCCUUCUUGAUAUGCUAGAGAUAGCAUAGCCCUUCGGGGGAGAAGAGACAGGUGGUGCAUGGUUGUCGUCAGCUCGUGUCGUGAGAUGUUGGGUUAAGUCCCGCAACGAGCGCAACCCUUAUCUUUAGUAGCCAGUGCGUAAAGGCAGGCACUCUAGAGAGACUGCCGUGGAUAACACGGA
rnacentral:rRNA from 1 species